UGACCCAUGCUUGACUCUGUUUGAGUCGAAAUUUUAGAUCUUCACUUACUUAAAUUACCCUCUUUGCCAGUUUGUAGUGUUGCACUUAUCUCUAGUAGUGUUUAUUACAAAGCAAGAACCUAUGCACUCUGCACCAUUUGAUAUGAGGAAAUGGGGAAUACCUACAGUGGGCUUUAUCAAGAGUUUGUUCUACAGUAGCUCUUCUAUGGAAUCGGACCAGACUGUCUAGCCUUUGCUCCCCAUGCUUGGGCGACCAUGACCCUGGUGCCGGUUCACCGGUUGUACUUCCUUGGACCACUUUUGGUGCAACUGUAACGAGAUAAGCAAUGUUAUUCACUUCACCUGUCAGUGGUUUUAAUGUUAUGGCUCAUCGGUGUGUGUCCAUCCGGCCGUCCGGCUGUCCAUCCAUCCAUCCAUCCAUCCAUCUAGAGCUGUGAAAAAGUUUAUGCGUUCUUCUGAUUUCUUCUAUUUUUGUGUAGAUCUCAUAAUGAAUAGUUUUAGAUCUAACGGCCUGAAUUCUU